GGCUAGGAACAGCUUCACUGAAGUAUAGUGUGAGUCAUAAGCCUCUGUUUGGUGACCCUCUGACAUCUGGGGGGUUUUCUAUUAUAGCGGCAAGUCUUACCUAUCCAAGCUAAUACAUAGCCUACUUAGCGCUACCAUCACCAAAGCCAUUCCACAGGAUCCCGAGAAGAGGCUUAGUAUACACCAGACUGAGUCUCAUUUCGGAUGACAAAAAGGCAGCACGAGGCAGAAAAUGUCCAUUUCUCUCUGUGAACAAAGUUUUCCAACUGGCGGAAUGCAGCCCUACCACUUAAGAGAGUCUAAAUGCCUCUUCUGGAACAUUUGGACUGCUUGUUCUGAUGCCCAGUUUAUGGAAUUAAAAAUAAAAUCUCCAAUUGGAAUGAGCAA
rnacentral:lncRNA from 1 species